ensembl:lncRNA
CAUCCCUGUCGGUUCUGUGUUCCUCGCUCCUUGUAUCACCCCUGAUUUUCCUUUGAAGGAGAAACAACAGGAUGGCACUGGGACCUGAACUCUGACUCUGCUGUUUCUGCUGCUCUGGUUGCUGAUGCUGCUCUUUCGCAGCAGCUGAGCUGGAUCCAGAUGGAAGUGUCAUCUGUUGUGUAUCCAGAGGCAUUUUACUCAUCCAUCAGAGCUGCAGUAGCUGCUUAUUGGUGUUCAGAAAUCCAGAUGAAGCUGUGAGAGAACAGGAGCCCACGUGGGAAGUGUGAACCAGAAAGCUGAAAUUACAGCAGCUGGAUUUUGGCCAGAAACACUAAGGCUAAAAACUGAAUUCUGAGAGAGCUGCUGAGACCUUAAGUGGCAGUCACAGGGCAGGAUGUUUGUUUUCCAUCUCCUCCAGAGGACGGCACAUCCAACAGCACUUUCCCAUCUUUAAGACCAGGCUGAGACCUUUGUUCAGGACUGACUCAGAGGAAAGGGUGCCACUCAAUGAAUCACUGCUUGACUUCCCUCAGUCUGGGGGUAUUCCUUUGAGACCUCAAAGCUCGCUCCAGAGCCAUCCUGCUUGAUGAAUGGGAAGUACUCUGAUGAACACAUGGAGAACGUUGCUGCAGGCCCAGCGCUCUGAAAGUGUGUAUACUGCCCAAGGCCUGCUCCAGAAAAUGAAUUCACAUAUGCUUAACUCUACACUUCGGAGGCAUAAUCCCAUUAAUUUAAAUGGGAUUACUCCUGGGCUUAAAUUCCUGCAGGAUCAGCACUGAGCUCUGUGGCUGCAGCUGCCAGUUGCACAAUGAAUGGUGUAACAAGAGCGUUGCUCAUUCAGGGUUGUUGCUGCCCCACUGUUUUGGAUUUGGAGGCUCUUGGCUCUCCCAUGUGCUUGAAACUUGGGGAACACCUAGGAGGCCCCACUGGUUGAACAUUCCCAUUGCUCAUAUACUCAAAAGUGAAACCUCAAUUCUAAGAUCUCCUGAAUAUAAGCUUUAUUUAAUCUCCCCUUACCUGCAAAGCUAUUUCAAGUCUUCUAUGGACUCUACCUCUAUGUAAACCCCAGGCUUCAUGGAUGGUUUUUGUGUCUGCCGCUAUUCAUGGAUCUCCUUAACUGCUUUGAUCAGUACAGUACAAGGAACCCUUCCUCCUUGCUUAUCUUCUCUAAACAAGUAUAUUUCCUCCUGCUUAACAUCUUUCUGCUAAUCUCCUCCAUCCUGCUGGAGCAGACUGCCUCUAAAAAGAAUUAUUGUCUCUGCUCACCUUUGGGUCAUUUUGGUCAGUGGACCCUAAUGGCAGCCCAAGAUAAACACAUUGUCUGUAAGCGGAAAGUUAGUUACAGCUGAAUAUGAAAACAUACUGCCUUAUAGCAUGCACUGAUCUUCUUUUCUAUGUAGUUGCUGAUUUUUGUCAGAAAUCACCUGGCUGCUUCUUUUUUAAAUGAAUCAAUAAGCCCACAAGGGUAGCGACUGUAUUUUAAUAAAUAGCUGUAUAAAAUAAUUAAUAAAUAGCUUACAGUUAAGGGCUGAUAUAUGACAUGUAUAUAUAUGCCUAACAGAGAUCUGGGAGAGGCAGUCUCUGAGGAAAGUUAAUUUCUUUUGUUCAACUGCAUGUAUUUUAACAUUUUGGUUUUAGGGAAAAAAAAAAUCUCCCACUGGAGACCUUUUAUGCCAAAUUUGAGCCUGGAGCAAAUUUUUAUGGCUGAGUUGCAGUAACCCCUUGAAUAUAGGGGUUUAUAAUGGAAACUCUGACAAACCCUUAGCUAGAGUGCUUCUAACAGAUGUUUCUGUAAUGAAAGCUGUGCAGAAUAGGCAUCAGAUAGCAAAACUGUACUUUGUGUUUUGCAAAGAUUUCAAGUGACUGUGCACAGUUCACAAAGUGAUGGUGGCUUUAACCCAAAUCACAAUACUCACACCAGGCUGCAGACUGGGGAUGUGCAUAAAUUAACAAUAAUACUGUUCUGGUAAAGCAGCUAGCUGUUGAACAUAACUUCCUGCCUCUCUUGUAUAGAUUUGAAAAGCAAGUUAUUUUGCAGUCCUGAAGAGCAAUUCAACAAUCUGGAAAAGGUGGUGAUGAUAGAUAUGAUUUUGUUCAUAGUGCCUUUGAGAUGGAUGUCAUUACUGUUCAAUUAAACAACUGGUCUG